rnacentral:siRNA from 1 species
UGGUGGACCGUCUAGACCCGCUA